AAGGGGAUAGCCUUUGGAAACGAAGAAUAAUACCCUAUAAAACCAUAAAAGCACAUGCUAGAAUGGUCAAAGUGAUAGCGGUGUAAGAUGGACUUGCGUCUGAUUAGCUAGUUGGUGAGAAUAAAAGCUCACCAAGGCAACGAUCAGUAGCCGGCUUGAGAGAGUGUACGGCCACAUUGGGACUGAGACACGGCCCAG
rnacentral:rRNA from 1 species